GAUGAACGCUGGCGGCGUGCCUAAUACAUGCAAGUCGAGCGAAUUGACAGAGGUGCUUGCACCUCUCGAUUUUAGCGGCGGACGGGUGAGUAACACGUGGGUAACCUACCUAUAAGACUGGGAUAACUUCGGGAAACCGGAGCUAAUACCGGAUAAUAUUUAGCUUCGCAUGAAGCAAUAGUGAAAGACGGUUCUGCUGUCACUUAUAGAUGGACCUGCGGUGUAUUAGCUAGUUGGUGAGGUAACGGCUCACCAAGGCAACGAUACAUAGCCGACCUGAGAGGGUGAUCGGCCACACUGGGACUGAGACACGGCCCAGACUCCUACGGGAGGCAGCAGUAGGGAAUCUUCCGCAAUGGACGAAAGUCUGACGGAGCAACGCCGCGAGAGUGAAGAAGGUUUUCGGAUCGUAAAACUCUGUUGUAAGGGAAGAACAAGUACGUUAGUAACUGAACGUACCUUGGCGGUACCUUACCAGAAAGCCACGGCUAACUACGUGCCAGCCGCCGCCGUAACAC
rnacentral:rRNA from 1 species